rnacentral:rRNA from 1 species
UACGUAGGGGGCAAGCGUUGUCCGGAAUCAUUGGGCGUAAAGCGCGCGUAGGCGGCCCUGUAAGUCCGUUGUGAAAGUCGAAGGCUCAACCUUCGAAAGCCGAUGGAUACUGCAGGGCUAGAGUCCGGAAGAGGCGAGUGGAAUUCCUGGUGUAGCGGUGGAAUGCGCAGAUAUCAGGAGGAACACCAAUAGCGAAGGCAGCUCGCUGGGACGAUACUGACGCUAAGGCGCGAAAGCGUGGGGAGUGAACAGG